GCCAAACUGGUGUAGUGGUUUAAGUGUUGGACUAAGACUCUGGAGACCAGGGUUCAAAUCCUGUUUCGGCC